rnacentral:rRNA from 1 species
CCUACGGGAGGCAGCAGUGAGGAAUAUUGGUCAAUGGACGAGAGUCUGAACCAGCCAAGUAGCGUGAAGGAUGACUGCCCUAUGGGUUGUAAACUUCUUUUAUAAAGGAAUAAAACGACGCACGUGUGCCUUUUUGCAUGUACUUGAUGAAUAAGGAUCGGCUAACUCCGUGCCAGCAGCCGCGGUAAUACGGAGGAUCCGAGCGUUAUCCGGAUUUAUUGGGUUUAAAGGGAGCGUAGAUGGGUUGUUAAGUCAGUUGUGAAAGUUUGCGGCUCAACCGUAAAAUUGCAAUUGAUACUGGCAGUCUUGAGUACAGUUGAGGUAGGCGGAAUGCGUGGUGUAGCGGUGAAAUGCUUAGAUAUCACGAAGAACCCCGAUUGCGAAGGCAGCUUACUAAACUGCGACUGACAUUGAUGCUCGAAGGUGUGGGUAUCGAACAGGAUUAGAUACCCGUGUAGUC